UACCUCUGAGCCCAGUUGGAGAAAAAAAGACACCAGCCAUGAGUGAAAAGAAGCAAGGGUCCAGCUUUAUUGUUCCGUUCCACCACACGAGAUCCACACCGAUGAGAAUUCUCAGAAGUGAUCUGAUACCCUGAGCUUAAGCUCCAGUAUUUAUACUGUAUUUACACAGUAAAUAACCCAUAUUUUUCAAGAAGACUAUGAUAUCACUAACAAUAGGGUUAAAAAAGAGCUCAUCUACCUUACUCUUAUGUUCAAAAAAAAGGCUAUUCCACUUACCAAUAGCUCAAAAAACAGGGCUUUUCAACUUACACAUAGAAUCAAAACCAAGGGAUUUCGAAUAACCCAUAGAAUCAAAAGUGGAGAGACAAAACAAUCUAGAGUGACCUUGGUCUUACUAUUAUCUCGCGGGGGGGGGGGGGGCAGCUUGACUCAGCUGCCCUUAUAAAUGGCUCCUCAUGGUUUUCUCUUAAAAUUACGGCCUUCCUUACGAGAAAAGAAUCUUCGCCAUCUGACUUACGAGAAAUGCUGUUGAAAGUGGAGAGAGGAGGAGUGCAGAAAUAUAUUAAAGUUCCACAGACUGAUGAAGUCUUUCAAUUUGAGAAGUUCCUUCAGAGAAGGUUUGUAGUUUAUUUAUGGGAAUAUUUUUGCAUUUAAUGCUGUUAUCACUGUAGUUGAUCAUGCAAUAUUACAGAUUCUCUAAAUAAAGAGUUUGCAAGUCCUAUAGUUAGCAUAUGAAUUACAAAAAUGGUUCUGUCAGCAAACAAAAAUCGUCUCCAUGCCUAUUUAAUAUUGUAUUAACACAAUGUACUGUACUUUUUAUUCUCCUAGUAACAGAUCAGUUUAGUCUGCAGCCAGACGGUUUCAGUCAGGGCCAGCUCUCAGUCACUGAUGUGUCAGGAACAGAGGUGGAUGGAGAUGUCUUUGAUGAACUUGUCAAGUCAGGUGUCUUGACCUUCAAGGUCCCUUUACCAGUAAUGGGUAAGGAUGUGAAGGCAUGGGAAAAGGCAGGGGUUUGAUGAGGUAUCACAGGCAGUGUAAACUAAGAGGCAUAUAGUGUGUUGUCUAAAAUGUCUUUUUGAGGGACCUCAAACCAUUAUCAUUUGCUAUACUAUUGAUCAUUACGUUACGUACAUCUUAUUCGUAUAUGGAAAGUACUUAAUGGAGAUAAUAUACUUUAUAUUUUUUAAUGUAACCAAUCAGGUAUUUGUUGAAAUGCUUUUGUUACUGAUAAAUACAUGUACAUUUAAAUUGAUUUUGUUCUGUCUGUGAUUUUGUAGAUCUGGAUGUUCAGCUGGUCUCAGAUCAAGCGUCCUCCUCUGUACUGACUCCACUAUCCCCAGCUUCGUCCCAUUCAUCAGAUUCCACAAUUGUCCUUGAGUCCACAAGAAAGAGGAGGAACCCAACAGGGUUAAUGGACCAGAAUGAAGCAAUACAGAUUGUCCAUAUAGUGUUCUCCUACACCAGAGCUGAUGGGAUGAUAUGUUACUUAAAACAUCUGACCUGUGAUCACCAUACUCUAUUCAAAGAAUUGUUUCCUGACAAGAGGUCGAUUCCCAAGCACCACUUGAUGAUACAAUAUCCAAGAUGCAUAAAAAAAAUUGGCCCUCUUAUCCAUAUGUGGUGUAUGCUCACACACACACACGCGCGCGCACACACACACACACACACACACACACACACACACAAAGACACACACACACACACACACAGCAUUGCUUCCUGUAGGGAGUGGACGUGACUGCGGUCUAAUUCUUGUUAAAACAGUUUCUUCAUCGCACUUGAGCGGCUUUUAUGGAUCUGCUGUAAUUACGCGAGUCACUGGGACUGAGAAACUACGAGCUAAAGAAUAAAAGUCUGUUUAAAAUCUUACAUACUGUACAAGUACAGACGGAGAACUGCUCUGAUGUAAUAACUUACCUCAGCCAGUCAUGAGUGAGGUCAUAUAUUUAGACUUAGUUGGACUUAAGAUGAUGUUUACUCAUUUUUUCCCGUUUUGGGAAGUGAGGCAGGCUCAUCUUUACAUUACUCUAAUCCAUAUGAGCAUCCACAUGACCCCGGAGCUCUGGAGCGAUUCCAAGAGAAAUCUCAAGUUAAAUGUUCUCGCACUUCUAGUCAAAGUUCUUAAAAAAAGUUUAUUAACGAGCCAGGCUGUAAAAAAAAUAAUAAUAAAAGCUGGCAAAUUUUGCUAAACUGACUGAACGUAUUUUUCCAAAACGUGGCUUUGUGGUUUGCACGUCUGCCUCGCAGCCCCGGGGUCGGGGGUUUGAUUCCUGCAGGGGUUUCCUCUGGGUACUCCAGUUUCAUUCCCCAGUCCAAAGACAUUCUUUGUAGUAGAUUGGCAUUUCUGUAGUGUGUGAAUGUGUGUGAUGUAGCAGGACAAAUGAGAAGAGAAUUUAACCUCAUCAGCCAAGAAAGAAAUCCUUGCCCUGCUGUGUGAUGUGUGAAGAUGCUUUGCAGAGAGGAACGAGCCAAAGCUGAACCACAGCGCUGCAGAAAAUGAAUCACUUCUCCCCCGAGACACCUCCGAGCUGGAAUUACCAACAACUUUACUACAAAAUACUAAUGUUGCUCAUGUGUGUAUUUUUCCUCCUAUCCAUUCUGUUGUCUUUGUGUACGUUUAUGAAUGCAUUUUGUUUUGUUUAUAUUUAUUAGUACGAAGUUAAAAGAUACGUUGUGUAUAAAUGUGAAGUGGAUAUAUGGACUGGAAUUAUAUUAAAUAACAUAAACAAAAGUGUAUGAAUAAUUAUUUCCCCUCACU